rnacentral:lncRNA from 1 species
GGUCGGAGUGGAUGGCCCAGGAAAGUAAGACCAUAGCAUGUAAGAUCUUGCUCACCCACAGAUAUCACUAUAUACAGCAAUUCUGAUUCUUCAAACAUCAUCUCCACAGACCUGUUCAUCCUGUGGCAUGCUUAGUUGUUUCCACACUGCUUUGCAAUGAAGAUUCCUUACUGCAUCUUAAUGUUUCUCUUUCUGGGCCUGUUGUUAAACUCAGGAAGUGAAGAUAUUCCCGAAGUCAACAGUACCCUGGACUGUAAAAAUCAAAUGCUGUGUAGUUUGGAGAAUACAAAUGGAGACUGCUCUGAUGUUCAGAAAGUGGGGCUGUGUGUCCUACGUCUUAGUCAAACUCCUCAGCAACAGACCUAAAGAAAUUGGAAACAAGGAAUGCAAGAGGAUCACCUCCUUUGAUGCAUUAAAUUAGAAAAUAUA